rnacentral:rRNA from 1 species
GAUGAACGCUGGCGGCGUGCUUAACACAUGCAAGUCGAGCGAGAAGUUUUGAAAAGAUUCUUCGGAUGAAAUUUAAAAUGGAAAGCGGCGGACGGGUGAGUAACGCGUAGGCAACCUGCCCCAUACAAAGGGAUAGCAUUUGGAAACGAAUAUUAAUACCUUAUGAAACUUAACUAGUGCAUGCUAGGUAGGUCAAAGAUUUAUCGGUAUGGGAUGGGCCUGCGUCUGAUUAGCUAGUUGGUGAGGUAACGGCUCACCAAGGCGACGAUCAGUAGCCGACCUGAGAGGGUGAACGGCCACAUUGGAACUGAGGCACGGUCCAAACUCCUACGGGAGACAGCAGUGGGGAAUAUUGCACAAUGGGGGAAACCCUGAUGCAGCAACGCCGCGUGAACGAUGAAGGCCUUUGGGUCGUAAAGUUCUGUUCUAGGUGAUGAAAACUGACAGUAACCUAGGAGAAAGCCCCGGCUAACUCCGUG